rnacentral:rRNA from 1 species
AGAGUUUGAUCCUGGCUCAGGACGAACGCUGGCGGCGUGCCUAAAACAUGCAAGUCGAACGAGGUCCACCCAGUGGCAACACUGGUGAAGACCUAGUGGCGAACGGGUGAGUAACACGUGAGGAACCUGCCCCGAAGACCGGAAUAACCCUCCGAAAGGAGAGCUAAUACCGGAUACCCCCACCAGAUCGCAUGGUCAGGUGAGGAAAUGCAUUGUGCUUCGGGAGGGCCUCGCGGCCUAUCAGCUUGUUGGUGGGGGUAACGGCCCACCAAGGCAUCGACGGGUAGCUGGUCUGAGAGGACGAUCAGCCACACUGGGACUGAGACACGGCCCAGACUCCUACGGGAGGCAGCAGUUAGGAAUCUUGCGCAAUGGGCGAAAGCCUGACGCAGCAACGCCGCGUGGGGGAUGAAGGCCCUCGGGUUGUAAACCCCUUUCAGUCGGGACGAAAAUGACGGUACCGACAGAAGAAGCCCCGGCCAACUACGUGCCAGCAGCCGCGGUGACACGUAGGGGGCAAGCGUUGUCCGGAUUUAUUGGGCGUAAAGGGCUCGUAGGCGGUUCGACAAGUCGGGUGUGAAACCUCCAGGCUCAACCUGGAGUCGCCGCUCGAAACUGUUGUGACUAGAGUCCGGUAGAGGAGCAUGGAAUUUGUGGUGUAGCGGUGGAAUGCGCAGAUAUCACAAGGAACACCAGUAGCGAAGGCGAUGCUCUGGGCCGGUACUGACGCUGAGGAGCGAAAGCAUGGGGAGCAAACAGGAUUAGAUACCCUAGUAGUCC